AGGUAAUCACUAUACACCACGCCCUUAGCAUCCGAGUACACUAAUGACUCGGGGGCCGAUCUGCCAUGGUUAUUCCCCAGGUAACGAGUCGGCUCUCAUCCUUUCCGUAGCAAGUCCAGUUUUCGCCUAGCUCCUACACCCUAUUCCCGCUCUACCUUCCACCGACCUAUACCUUCACCCCGCCGAGCGCCUCCGCGAACCGCCUCUCUAAGCACGUGUUUUAUCGCAAUCAACGUGACGGCAUCUCUCUGCAAAGAGUCGCAGCUAACUUACUAUACCGACACCAUCGUAGCGCAUCGUUUCCGUAGAUGAUCACCAGAGACGACCCCCUGGAACUGCCCCCUCUUCACCAACCCGUCGCGCCUCACCCCACCCCUACGCUGGUGCGGGGGACCUCUAGUAAUCCCCGACCAGACAGACGACUGCGGCCUGGCGCAC